rnacentral:sRNA from 1 species
GCUAGGAGGUGUGGGCCUCGGGUGAAGGGAGACCCAGCUCUUAGACCUGGGAGCCCAGACGAGGUGGAUCUGCCCACCUUGCAGCUUCCAGGUAGAUCCUUCUUGUGGCUCCAGAUGCUCUGGCGAAUGCAGGAAGGGGAGGCUCUUUUCUCCUUUGCACCCCAGCAAUCUGGAGUGCAAGACCUUUUGCGGGAGGGGGCUUAGUCAGCUGUUUCGAAGAGGCAGCCUCCCCUCCCUUUUAUCCACCAAGCCCCCUAUUUCCGGGUGGGGGCACGGUGACUGCCAAGGCCAGUAAGCACCUCACUUAACCCUUCUCUCCCUGAGGAGGUGCAUGCUCCUCUCCCAGAGGUGCCUUUGGCUGAGAGUGGAUCCCUGGUUCCUAGUAGCCCUAUAGGGAAACAUUUGGAGGUUGGGUGGGUUUGGAACCCUGUAAAACCUUUAGGUCCUCCCUGUUCAGACCUUCCACGUGCAGGCUUUUCUUACUUUCUCCGCGGGUGCCCUGCAGAGGACUCCUGCUGCCUUGUACCAGUUGGGAAAAAGCAAAAUUCAGAGCAGUUCCUUUUUCUGGGUCCCUCGCCUUGGCCACAUCGGAGGAAACGUCGACUCGCCAGGGCUCCCGGGAGAGAUCCCGAGGUCAGUCCCUCCCAUUCUAGGGCACCCCUGGAGCAGCUAGCUCCCUGCCUAGCGGUGGCAAACUCCAGAGCCCCAAGGAGCAGAACGGGGAUUCCCUGGGCGCAGGCUCCUGGUGCAGCUCCUGAGCACAAAGGCCACACCCUCACAGGCCAGGCCUGGUGAGAGAGCCGGGCUUCUUCAGAAGUACCUGGACACCUGAGGUGCCCAAGCAAGGAAAGAAAUAAUGAAGAGACACGUGUGUUAGCUGCAGCCUUUUGAACCACGCAAGAAG